rnacentral:rRNA from 1 species
GUGAAGCGGCAAGAGCUCAGAUUUGAAAUCUUUUUUUGGCACGAGUUGUAGAGUGUAGGCGGGAGUCUUUGUGGAGCACGGUGUCCAAGUCCCUUGGAACAGGGCGCCUGAGAGGGUGAGAGCCCCGUGGGGUGCCGUGCGAAGCUCUGAGGCCCUGCUGACGAGUCGAGUUGUUUGGGAAUGCAGCUCCAAGUGGGUGGUAAAUUCCAUCUAAGGCUAAAUACUGGCGAGAGACCGAUAGCGAACAAGUACUGUGAAGGAAAGAUGAAAAGCACUUUGAAAAGAGAGUGAAACAGCACGUGAAAUUGUUGAAAGGGAAGGGUAUUGGGCCCGACAUGGGGAGUGCGCACCGCUGUCUCUUGUAGGCGGCGCUCUGGGCGCUCUCUGGGCCAGCAUCGGUUCUUGCUGCGGGAGAAUGGGUGCCGGAAAGUGGCUCUUCGGAGUGUUAUAGCCGGCGCCAGAUACCGCGUGCGGGGACCGAGGACUGCGGCUUCUGUCUCGGAUGCUGGCACAACGGCGCAAUACCGCCCG